rnacentral:lncRNA from 1 species
CCCGGCGGAAGAAGGGGGCUCUCCAAGCACACCUGGCAGCCUGCAGCCUUUAGGUUUCUUCCCUGUUCCCUCUGCUGCCGACUUUUCUUUCACUUUCACUUAGAGCAAGAUGGCAGCCCGCGUCCCUGUGUGAAGCCGUCUGCAGCAGCUGCCAGAGCCCUGCUUGCUGUUUCCUUUCUCACCACCCACCUCACCCGGAAAUCCCCUGUCUCGAAAAGGCACUCUGUCACGUGUACACAGGAAAGGGCCCUGACAAGAGGAUGGGACUGCAGUUGUGGCUGCCAGAGUCUUGCUUUGUCGCCCAGGUUGGAGUGCAGUGGCACGAUCUCGGCUCAGUGCAACCUCCGCCUCCUGAGUUCAAGUGAUUCUCCUGCCUCAGCCUCCCUAGUAGCUGGGAUUACAGGACAAGGAGAGGGACAAAUUCCUUCUUGGCAUCCUUAUGGCCCUGUGACCUGCUAAUGAAUGCUGACUCUGAGUUGCUACUAGAAUUUGGUUUCCUUGUGGCUUCCCAGGAAUUGUGAGCCAUGUUGGAUAAGGACCUGCAAGGGAAGAAUGAGGAAGCCUGGGACAGUGCAGGAGGGGAGAGCACUGGUGGUAGAGAGGAGUGAUGACAAGGGUCUCCGCCAAAAGGGAAAUGGAGGGGUUAAAGAAGCUGCUGGGGAGGGUUAAAAACAAUGUGUUCUCACUCGUAGGUGGGAAUUGAACAAUGAGAACACUUGGACACAGGAAGGGGAACAUCACACACUGGGGCCUGUCGUGGGGUGUGGGGAGGGAGGAGGGAUAGCAUUAGGAGAUAUACCUAAUGUAAAUGAUGAGUUAAUGGGUGCAGCACACCAACAUGGCACAUGUAUACCUAUGUAACAAACCUGCACAUUGUGUACAUGUACCCUAGAACUUAAAGUAUAAUUAAAAAACAAAACAAAACAAAACAAAAACAAUGAGGUGCUAUUGUUUUAGUGGUGAGUAUCCGGAGACCUGGGAGUUCUAUUUACCAGGUAUAACCUGGGCUCAAAAUUCCAGGCUGACUUCAGGCAUGUCCUCAUCUCAUAGAUGCCAGCACUAAGGCCCAGAGAGGGCCGAGCUCAUUCAGCCCACCCAUCUUCUCACCCCUGACUGCAUUUCCCGGGGGUCCUUCUGCAGCCAGGUGCUGCUGUGGUACUUUGGGAUCUAUUGGCUGAGCUCCCAGAGAAGGGUCAUGGAUUGGGCUAGUUUGGAACAAGUGAAGGGACUGAAGAUGGGCUCAGUAUGGGGCGAAGACCUUCAGGAAGGGUCUGCAGAGUGAGUAGGGGGGUUUUGACUAGGAAAAGUUCCAACCCUGCCGGGGCCGCUGUCAAGAGAAAAGCAUCUAUUACAGUUACAUUUUUAAGUUAAGUAGACUGAAGAAUAUUUCUUGUGUAUUAAAGACGUUCCUUUUUGGUUGAUUUGCAAUGGAAAAGCUUUUGUUUUCUUUUUUUUUUUGGAAACAGGGUCUCACUCUGCUCACUCUGUCUCCCAAGCUGGAGUGCAGUGGUACAGUCACGGCUCACUGCAGCCUCCACUUCCUGGACUCAAGUGAUCUUCUCACUUCAGCCUUCUGAGUAGCUGGGACUACAGCCCCCUCUGCAGCUCUUCAUGGGGGUCCACUCAAGUCAGAAGCCACAUUUGGGUGUGAUUCAGAGAGCUGUUUAUGCAAAACCAGCUUUGUCACCAUCAGGCAAGGCACCUGAAUUCCCACCGCAGAGAGUGUUGUGGCCGUGAGGACUUUUCUGUCACCAGCCAUUUCCAGGUAGACCCAGUGUAAUCACAAGCAUCCUUGUAAGUGGCAAAGAGGCAGAGGAGACAGCGCCAGAGAGGCAGCUGCAUGAGAAGGAUCAAGAUGUUGCUGACUUUGAAGUUGGAAGAAGAAGGCCAUGAGCCUCAGUAUGUGGGCGGCUUCUAGAAGCUGGAAGGGGCAAGGAGAUGGAUUUGACCCUUCAGCCUCCAGGGGCAGCUGUACCUGCCAUCACUGAUUGUAGCCUGGUGAGGCCUGUUUUAGACUUCUGACCUGUAGAGCUGUAACAUAAUACAUUUGGGUUGUUUUCAACCACUAAGUUUGUGGUAAUUUGUUGUAGCAGCUGUAGAAAAUGAAUACAUAUGAAUCCUCUGGCAUUUGUUUGAGAUUUGCUCUAUGGCCUAGUAUGUGGUUGUAAAUGUUCCAUCUGUGCCUGAAAAAAUGUAUAUUUCUAAUUCAGUAGUCUCUGCUUUUUUUUUUUAUUUUGUACCCCAUCAAUAAAAUGAUUUUCAGCAUGUAUCCCCAAAUAAACAAUAUUUUAUUUAUUGAUUGAUUGAUAAACAGACAUGUUUAAUGAUAGCUUGCUUUUCACAGAGGUGACUUCGGAGACUUCUAAUCUAUAAUCCAGGAGUAUAUAACCAUG